ACUCCAUCCCCCAACACUCCCCAGUCCCAGCAGGAAGCAAGCCAAGGCUGCCCUCCCACCCUGGGUUCACCGCAUUCCCACAGCCUGGCUGGUUCUGACCAGUUGUGCUGGGUUUGGGGGCCUCCCUGGGGUCCCCAGACAAUCCUUAGGAAACAAGGCCAGUUCUGAGUCUCCACAGACCCUCCCCAAGCCCACUGGCAAUACAGGAAAGCCUCCAGAGCCCUGAACACCCACUUCCAGGAACGAGGGAGCAGGCAAGAAGGGAUGCCGGAUGGAAGAACCAGCCCUGCUUCCUAGGCUUCCCCUGGCCCCCAGAAUGCUCCAGGUCAGCCCUCUCUGAUCCCUAGGAGCCAGGGCCCUCAGACUCCCCACCACUGGGCACCACUGCUGGCACCAGCUGGCCCCAGUAAGCCCAGUCCUCAGCAGUUGCGUAAAUGAAGCAAAACAGGAGAAACAGGAGAGACAGGGUUUUGCUGUGUUGCCCAGGCUGGUCUCGAACUCCUGGACUCAAGCAAUCCACACACCUCGGCCUCCUGAAGUGCUGGAAUUACAGGCAUGAACCACAGCACCCAUCUGAGAUGCCUCACCUCACUUCUAAUCACAGUCUGGGCACAGAAUGUGCCCUAGGAGAACAGCUUCUGAAUAAACGAAUGAAUGAAUUCCUCCACCUGGAACCAUAUUCAACACUCUUCCUCCAUCCUCUCCCCCACUCCCUCUAAUUCUCCCAUUCACAUUUCUUAGUGUUUCUCAACAUGGUUUUUCCACUCCCGAACCAAGGUGUCUGGCUUCCUGCCACCCUGCCCAUCAACACAAAAUCCCAUCUCUCCAUUCCUCUCCUCUUCCUCACAUCAGUAUCCAACUCUGCUUCCCUCCUUUAUAGCUACCCUGACAGGCAGUGACUUCAGAUGUCAGCUCCACAUCCACUUUUCUAUGAGGCUUUCCCUCCGCCAUCCCAUCUGACACAUCUCUUGUUCCUUAAUUCCUUCAGCAAAUAGUUAAGGGGCACAGUUAAUGUGACAGGUCCCGUAUGGGUGCUAGGGAUGCUGAGGUGGAUAAUACACAGCUCGUGCUCUCAAGAGCUCUCACUUGAGUCAAAGACAGUCAGUUGUAGGCACUGAGAUCUAUACAGGGAGUGCUGCAGUUGCACAGUGAAGGACACUGAAGCAGCGUGGGGAAGCUCCUGAAUUUUCUGGAGCUGAGCGCAGGAGCUGAGACCUGCUAAGCAAGGAAAGGCAGUGGACUAAGGCUCACCUCCUUCCCCAGUUCCUCCUCCUCCCAACUGGUGCUCCAGGACACCACAUCACAAUGCAUUUGUGGAUAUUUUCCUCGGGAUUGCUCUGAAAUCAUUUUUCACUGUAAGCCAUCUUGGUUACUAGGCUGUAAGCUCUUUGAGAGCAGCAAAAUCCUGUUUGCUUUGCCACAGUCUCUCCUGUAUCAUUCUUCCCUACUCCCCUACCCCACUUCUCUCUCUCUCUCUCUCUCUCUCUCACACACACACACACACACACACACACACACACACUGUGAGCUCUGCAUUGCCCACUGAAUGGUGAGAAAUUCAGAAGGAUGUUGCAUUCCCUUUGUUUUCCCUUUCCUCCAGCUCCAGGCCAGGCUUCUGUCCCUUAGGAGACAUAAUCCCACCUGGGCUGAAGCACCCCAGGACGCAGGCACUUCCCUUUACCUGUUCAGGCUACCUUUACCCUCUGUUUUCCCAACACAGGUAGCCACCCAGUAAUUACUACUAGUCACAGCAAUAUAAAAACUUUAUUGAGUGCUUUCUAUUUGCUACAACCUAUUCCCCUGAUGGACUGUCAAAGCUGUGGGCAGGGAUUUUGUUCUCUGCUGUAAUCCCAGCACCUAUCACAGUGUCUAGCCCAGAGCGCACACUUAAUAAAUCAAAUGAACACUUAACAUGUAUCAGUCUAUUCAAUCUUCAAAACAACAGUAUGAGGUCAAGACUGUGACACCCAUUUUGGAGAUAAAG
rnacentral:lncRNA from 1 species